AUGAAGAUGAUCUUUGUGGUGUUUGUGAUCCUGGUGCAUGUUUCCCAGCAUACCUCAGGAGUUGAGGUCUAUGAGGGGGUGGAGUCUGUGCUGCUGCCCUGCCAGGUAUCUAGGAUACCCGAGGACCUCACAGUGGUGUGGAGCCGCUUUGAUCUCAAUCCCACAACCAUCCACCAACAUCAGGAUAAAGAUGAGCUUUAUGUCCAAAACCAGCAUUACAGCAGUCGAACAACGAUGUCAGCUGACGCUCUGGAGACUGGAGACUUCAGCCUCACUCUAAAGAAACCCCGGCUCUUUGACAGCAGCAAAUACACCUGCAGCAUCCACAGUGGCGGAUAUGAAGUGAGACGGAUAAAAGUACAGCUGCAGGUCAAAGCAAGAAGAUGGAUGAGAAUGAAAAGAAGACAGGACCGAGAUGAAACAGACGACAUUGUGAACAUGCCCUUGAUGGCCAGCCCCAAUGUGUAGUGCUCCGUAUAAUUUGUCUUAUUCGGUAUAGCUUUGGUGGAUAAUUGAUGGAAUCUGAACUGCGAAUUAAAACGGGGCUUGUGGAUUCCUUCCUUCUCAUUUGCUGUUGUCAGCCCAUUCUCAACCGUAAAUCAUGGAAUACUGCAGCUAUGUCAGUUCAAAUUAUGAUGCUAUAGGUAUCCCUCUAACGUUACUACUGGAUGUGCCUGUGUAGGGUAAUGUUUUGAUGUUCUGUUGAAGUCAUGUGAAAUAGUAUAAAGAGCAAAAAGUCCACGUAUGGAGGUGGUGAGGAGGAUGGAAGACUCAAACAAGACUUUCAUACAGGAGACGGCUGUUUGUAUCCCAUUAGAAAACAAAAGUUAAUGUUGACUCCUUUUAGGUAAAGUUCUACUUGACCACAGAGCCCCGCACGUACAAAACUGAUGCUGGAGGGAUACCGCUGACCAAGCUGCAGUUCUUGAUGAGCUGGAAGUGAGAACGUAUUUCAGUUGUGUAAAAUAAAUGUUGCUGUUAAAUAUUCAGAGUUUCUGAGUUUCUAUAAUGUUUUAGUUAAAAUCAUUAUUCCAUUAUGCUCCUACCUUCAAUAACUCAGUACAUGCAUUAGUUUCUGAUUAUUACACUUGCUUUUAAAUCUCCUUCUCUGGAACACACUGUAUUGUUUUUUCACAUUAGCUGUAUGUAUGUUUUACUUUACACUACGUAUUGGAUUGCCUCUUGCUGCUGCCUCUUGGCCAGGACAUCAAUGUAAAUGAGAAUUGGUUCUCGAUUGAUAUCUCCGGUUAAAUAAAUAAACAAAAAUGCAUCCAGCUGUUGAAUUGAAUUGGAAGAAUUGUUGUGUUUUCCUUACCUUAGAAUAACCUCUUUUUGUGCCUGGGUAGGAUAAAAGAAAAUGGACAAGGGAGUGGGUCGCCUUCCGUGAACUGCCAUUUUUCUACAGUAGCCCUGAAGGGACAAACAAAACGCUGCUUCAAGAUAGGUCUGUUUGCUGUUUUUGCGUUUUGUGGCCACCGUAGUUUCUCCUCUGUGCUUGAAAGGGGAGGGUGAAUUGAGGGAGUAGCAAUCUGCAAAAGACAGAAGUGCUAAUAAUCAGAACAUUGCUGCAGCUUUCACUAAGUUGAUGCACAGAGCAGCCAUCUUAAAAUAAGAUGUUCCUUUAUUGAUCCCCUAUGGGAGAAAUCCAAGUCAGACACAGAAGCACAAGGGAAUGUAGUACAACAAGUAGAGAAGUGUAAGUACAAUAAAGAAUCAUAAAGUAAAAAUAUUAUAAAGACAUAAUAGAAAACAUAAGACUACAAUGAAAAAUACAUACUCUUUAUGUAGUGUGCAGUAAAAUGGUGUGCAAAUUAUUUUAAGCAGAAUAAGUGCAAGUGGAAGGAGUAGUUUGUACAGAGAGUUUGUAGGUUAAGGAUAAACCAGUCUUAUUCAGCUGGGGUUGGAGGAACUUGGAUUUUGAGGUUGGUGAGGUUCUUCCAACUUUCCAAGUUGGAAAUCUGACUUCCCAGUCCAAAUGGAACGCAUUAUAAUCAGGUGAUUAUUUAGAACAAUGAACAAUAUGAAAGGAAUGAAAGCAACCUGUCAGUCUGAUUCUGCUGUUUGAUAACAACUGGAUCAACAAGUCUCACACACACACACACACACACACAGUUGGGCUGAAGCUCCUCCUGUUUCCUCAGAAGUGUCUCAGUUGCAUCCCUCACCUCAUUCAGGAUUUAACUCUGAACCUGAACUCUGAGGUCACUGUACUUUUAUUCAUAUAGUUUAUGAUAAAUGAAGAACACUUUAAUUCAACAUAAACUGUAUGAUUAACAAACUAUUAAGUCAUCAAAUACUGCACUUUACACUUUAUUUAUAGAGCACUUGUGAGGAAGAGUAUUGAGUAUUGAACAUAAAAGUAAACACAUAGUAGUACAAUGACAUAUGAAAUACAACAAUACAGAGAAUGAACCAGACGGAGCCAAAUGAACUAAAAUCAGAUGAAACUAUCUGACACUGUUAUAAAGCUGAUCAACCUGAUAUUUUACAUUCUUAUAUCUCAUGAUCCCAGUCACAGAAAAAGGCUAUCUGAUCUGAUAAUUGAUCGAUAAUCAGUUUAGUUUUCCCAACAUAGUGUAAGUUACAUGGUUACACAGGUUAAAUGUACCUGGUAAGAAAUUCUUAUAAGGAAGUUUUUCCUUGCCCUUGUCUCCAAGGUCUUGCUCAUGGUGGUACUGUUGGGUCUCUGUAAAUAAUGUUAUAAAGAGUUCGGUCUAGACCUGCUCUAUUUGAAAAGUGUCCUGAGAUAACUUCUGUUAUGAAUUGGCACAAUACAAAUAAAAUUUAACUGGAUUGAAUUGAACGACCUGAUGGCAGCAUAUAUGGCUACAAAUAUAUAGUCUGCCUGUUAACUGCAAAUUGGUUGCAGGCAGUUUUUUUCUUCCAGAGCUCUUCACCUGUAUUAUUAAGGAAAAUAUAAUAAUACCUAUUGAAUCAGCACUCAGUAGAUAAUCAAUAUGUAUAUGUGUAUAUACACUACUCACAGAAAGUUAGGGAUAUUCGGCUUUCGGAUGAAAUUUCAGAAUGUACAUAAAAUGCACUAUAACCUUUCCAGGUGAUCUUAAUUUGAACUUCUAUACUUAAAUGCCCUACUUUCAUGAUAUAAUAUCACUGUAGCAUCAACUUUUUACAUUUUCCAUACAUUUCACCCGAA
rnacentral:lncRNA from 15 species